rnacentral:rRNA from 1 species
CCUACGGGAGGCUGCAGUGAGGAAUAUUGGUCAAUGGACGAGAGUCUGAACCAGCCAAGUAGCGUGACGGAUGACUGCCCUAUGGGUUGUCAACUUCUUUUAUAUGGGAAUAAAACGUUCCACGUGUGGGAUUUUGUAUGUACCAUAUGAAUAAGGAUCGGCUAACUACGUGCCAGCAGCCGCGGUACUACGGAGGCUCCGAGCGUUAGCCGGAUUUCUUGGGUUUAAAGGGAGCGUAGGUGGAUUGUUAAGUCAGUUGUGAAAGUUUGCGGCUCAACCGUACAAUUGCAGUUGAAACUGGCAGUCUUGAGUACAGUAGAGGUGAGCGGAAUUCGUGGUGUAGCGGUGAAAUGCUUAGAUAUCACGAAGAACUC